GGUUUCGUGGUGUAGUUGGUUAUUACACUAGUCCAACACGCUGGUGGUUGCCGGUUCAAGCCAGGGUGCAAUUA